UACGUAGGGUGCGAGCGUUAAUCGGAAUUACUGGGCGUAAAGUGUGCGCAGGCGGCCGCGCAAGUCGAGUGUGAAAUCCCCGAGCUUAACUUGGGAAUUGCGCUCGAAACUACGUGGCUGGAGUGUGGCAGAGGAAGGUGGAAUUCCACGUGUAGCGGUGAAAUGCGUAGAGAUGUGGAGGAACACCGAUGGCGAAGGCAGCCCCUGGGUCAAGAUUGACGCUCGAUGCACGAAAGCGUGGGAGCAAACAGG
rnacentral:rRNA from 1 species